rnacentral:lncRNA from 1 species
AGCUAGGGAGAUCUGAGUAGGCAGAAGCGGCCGCCUUAAUGACUGGCGUUGUCAGCACAGUGCGCUGGGGCCAACUGCAGGAUCUUCACUUUCACCUUCUUCUCAGGAGUGUUGCUAUGGGUACCAUCUCAGAGGUGUCAUAGAGAGAAAGAGCAGGCGGCAGACUGAUGAACAACAUAAGGAAGUAAAGGAUAUGCAACGGCCUAACAAUAUGAAGACAUCCUCCCCACACAAACGAGCGUGUUGCAUACUUUGAUGGGGACCCAUUAAAUAUGGAGGACGGCAGACAGGAGAAUUGGUUGAAUUGUCAACAAAUGACAAAUAAAAGUAUCCCCCAUGAAGUGGCGCUGAAAGAUCACGUUAACACAGUUCCAUGACAUGAAAUACCACAAGUCUGCAAUUUUUCGGUCUUGGGAGCAUCGCUGGGCUGAGAGGAUGGAAAUCUUUCAGGGGAAAAAACCUCUCAUGGUGCAGAUAGAAAAUGUAAAGCUCAGAGCUGCCAAUGCAUGGAAUAAAUGGACAAUCUUGCUAACUCCUAUUAUCAUCACUGUGUCUACAGUCUAUGUCAGUUCAGAACUAAAAUGUCCUCCUUUGUGUCCAUAGCACUUUAAAUAUC